AUCUACAGCCAUGCCACCUUGAACAAGCCCGAUCUCGUCUGAUCUCAGAAGCUAAGCAGGGUCGGACCUGGUUAGUAUUUGGAUGGGAGACCAACUAAGAAGACCAGGUGCUGUAGGCG
rnacentral:rRNA from 1 species